rnacentral:tRNA from 1 species
UCCCUUGUGGCUCAGCUGGUAAAGAAUCCGCCUGCAAUGCGGGAGACCUGGGUUUGAUCCCUGGGAUGGGAA